UUUCCGGUUGAUCCUGCCGGAGGUUACUACUAUCGAGGUUCGACUAAGCCAUGCGAGUCGAAUGUAGCAAUACAUGGCGAACUGCUCAGUAACACGUGGACAACCUGCCCUUAGGUUGGGUAUAAACCCGGGAAACUGGGUAUAAUACCCGAUAGGUCUCGAUUGCUGGAAUGCAUCGAGAUUUAAAGCUCCGGCGCCUAAGGAUGGGUCUGCGGCCUAUCAGGUAGUAGUGGGUGUAGCGUACCUACUAGCCUACGACGGGUACGGGUUGUGAGAGCAAGAGCCCGGAGAUGGAUUCUGAGACACGAAUCCAGGCCCUACGGGGUGCAGCAGGCGCGAAAACUUUACAAUGCUGGCAACAGCGAUAAGGGAACCUCGAGUGCCAGGUUACAAAUCUGGCUGUCGAGAUGCCUAAAAAGCAUUUCAUAGCAAGGGCCGGGCAAGACCGGUGCCAGCUGCCGCGGUAACACCGGCGGCUCGAGUGGUAACCGUUAUUAUUGGGUCUAAAGGGUCUGUAGCCGGCCGGAUAAGUCUCUUGAGAAAUCUGGCAGCUUAACUGUCAGGCUUUCAGGAGAUACUGUCUGGCUCGAGGCCGGGAGAGGUGAGAGGUACUUCAGGGGUAGGGGUGAAAUCUUGUAGUCCUUGAAGGACCACCAGUGGCGAAGGCGUCUCACCAAAACGGACCUGACGGCAAGGGACGAAAGCUAGGGGCACGAACCGGAUUAGAUACCCGGGUAGUCCUAGCCGUAGACGAUACUCGCUAGGUGUCGGCCACGGUGCGACCGUUGUCGGUGCCGUAGGGAAGCCGUGAAGCGAGCCACCUGGGAAGUACGGCCGCAAGGCUGAAACUUAAAGGAAUUGGCG
rnacentral:rRNA from 1 species